UACAGAGGGUGCGAGCGUUAAUCGGAAUUACUGGGCGUAAAGCGUGCGUAGACGGUUAUUUAAGUCAGAUGUGAAAGUCCCGGGCUCAAUCUGGGAAUUGCAUUUGAGACUGAAUAGCUAGGGUACGGUAGAGGGAAGUGGAAUUUCCGGUGUAGCGGUGAAAUGCGUAGAUAUCGGAAGGAACAUCAGUGGCGAAAGCGACUUCCUGGACCAGUACCGACGUUCAGGCACGAAAGCGUGGGGAGCGAACAGG
rnacentral:rRNA from 1 species